GAUGAACGCUGGCGGCGUGCUUAACACAUGCAAGUCGAACGGAAAGGCCCAAGCUUGCUUGGGUACUCGAGUGGCGAACGGGUGAGUAACACGUGGGUGAUCUGCCCCGCACUUCGGGAUAAGCCUGGGAAACUGGGUCUAAUACCGGAUAGGACCACUUCUUGGAGGUUGUGGUGGAAAGUUUUUUCGGUGUGGGAUGAGCUCGCGGCCUAUCAGCUUGUUGGUGGGGUAAUGGCCUACCAAGGCGUCGACGGGUAGCCGGCCUGAGAGGGUGUACGGCCACAUUGGGACUGAGAUACGGCCCAGACUCCUACGGGAGGCAGCAGUGGGGAAUAUUGCACAAUGGGCGCAAGCCUGAUGCAGCGACGCAGCGUGGGGGAUGACGGCCUUCGGGUUGUAAACUCCUUUCGCUAGGGACGAAGCGCAAGUGACGGUACCUAGAGAAGAAGCACCGGCUAACUACGUG
rnacentral:rRNA from 1 species